CGUAUAUUCCAACAGACUUACGUCUAUGCUUUUUAUAUCUUAUUUGCUUCCAGUACAUGUAAUUUACGUACAAUGGACAGGCCAUGUCUCUCUACUUGUUUGUAAACCAUAUUACAUCUUCGAAACAAUAUUAUUCAGCUAGUAUAUGUAGGUUCUACACGAAACAUUUUCAGCCAGACUUAGUAUUUGCAUGUGUGAGCCAUCUAUAACACGUAUAAUACGCGAUGCCAAAAUCUAACGUCAUCAUCAUAAUCAUAAUGCUGAAGCUGAUCUAAUUUCUUCGGGAGUCUGUGAUCUCUUCGUCCCAGAAUUUGUUAUUUCAGCAAUACUUGUGACGACUGAGGCAUUACCACUACGACAGAACAAUCCGCGCAUCUACUGCUGAUGGUGACGUCACUAAGUCGAGAAUAUUGCCAGCCUGUAAGAGAAACUAGUUCACAGCAGAAAACCAGGCUACGGGCUCGACGACCGGGGUUUGAUCCCAGGCAGGAUGAGAUUUUAUCUUUGCCGCGUCUGGACCAUCUCUGCAGCCCAUCCUGCCUCCUAUAGAUUUGGCAGUGGAUUUUUUAGUUCGUCGGGGAUAAAGCGGUCGGUGCUUGAAGCUAGAAAGCAACUCAGUUCCAUCUAAUGCACAGAUUAAGAAUGCAUAUAGCUAUGCCUCCACUCCGCCAUACGUCUACAGGGCGAUAUACUUAGUGAAGCAUCUGGGAGAAACAUUACUAAAAUUAUUAUUGCUGGUAUUUAAUACCAUCGUCACAUCACCUGUAUGCAGAUCUUCUAAUUUGUCGCUCUCAGAAAUUCUAAAAGCAUCUGAUUUCUCAAUUUAAUUUGCAUUCCACUUUAUUACCUCCUUUAUUUAAUUUGGCAUUAUUCAAGACAAUGUCUCGCAUUUUGUGUUAUGAGUUAAUUUUUAGCUUCGAUCAUCGCAUGUCUUUCUUUCGUCUCUGCAAUAUUCAUUCCUCUCAUUUAAUUCUGCGAUUUACAGCGUCCAUCUUUGACGUCACACCUGAGCCGUAUACAGCACCAUCUCUCAGUUGACUUACGAACAAGUUCACCCGACACUACCAGAGGCACUGAAUGAUCCUGCCUCUAUGCAGUUGUAUAUUCCAAUAAGAGGUGGCAGGCGAAUCAGCUCUUUCUCUUUUGGCUGCUGCCUGUCUUUGUCGUCUGAGUUACUCUCGCAUAAAUUACAGGGUAAUAUAUCGUGUUGAAAUGAUACUGAUUAUAGAAGUUCAGGAGUAAUGUAUUUUGGCUUCUCUAGAAGGGCUGUAACACCGUAUAAAAACGGUAAACAUUAUUGAAGUUUUAGAAGGACUUGCUGCGUCCAUCACGUUUUUCUAUGUAGGGUUUAUUAAGCUUUCUUAGAAACAUACCAUGUCAAUAUGUAACGAUUACCGACGUUUCGGAAGCAUGUGCUGUCUCCUUUCAAUAAUCGCUCAUUCUGGGUGUAGCAGAGUAUCAGAAUUUCAAAGUUUAUCAGCGUUUUGUAAGAGUUCUCCCUCUAAGGAGAUGUAAACCAAAAAUGUGGUCGUACGUAGUGUUUCGAUACGAUUCUGUUGCCAUAAGGCUCCACAGGUAGAUGAACCAACGUGAGAAACUGAAGUCCCGUUUUCUAUCCUGUCAGUUGUGUGUUAUGCAUCACUACCAGAAGCCGCAAGAGCUUCCUUCCUGCUAUGAUUACUUCCCAAGGAAUCUGCGUAACUUUCGCCAACUAGUGUCAGGUAUGGACGCUGUAGCAUCUUUCACGAUUACAGUAACAAUAUCACAGGCCGUGAUAAAUAGACUGAGGUCACGGAGUGUCAAAUUUCUUUUAUAUCUUCCUGUAAUUUAAUUUGUUCUUCUUGACAAAAAUAUUUUCGUAUCGUAUUUCAACACGUGUCGCAAUCUUCGCUUAAUACAGGUGGCACAGGCAGAACACAUUGCAUACAAUAACAGCUCACGAAAUGUGAUGAAUUGGUCGUAAGUGAACUACAAGCAACUUCAUGGCUUCUGGACAUUUUCAAUCAGAAAUCUAGAUGCUGUGGUGCAGGCGUUUAUUAUUUCCGAUGUCUCAACUGAAUUAUCUAGAAAUCUGUGCUGUGGUGACAUUUAAGACGAUUUUAGUGGAAAACAGAUGUACGAGUGUAGAAUAAAUAAAAUGUCUGGUUUUGGUA